rnacentral:rRNA from 1 species
UAGGGAGUCUUCCACAAUGGGCGAAAGCCUGAUGGAGCAACGCCGCGUGUGUGAUGAAGGGUUUCGGCUCGUAAAACACUGUUGUAAGAGAAGAAUGACAUUGAGAGUAACUGUUCAAUGUGUGACGGUAUCUUACCAGAAAGGAACGGCUAAAUACGUGCUAG